rnacentral:rRNA from 1 species
AAAUGAAUUGACGGGGACCCGCACAAGCAGCGGAGCAUGUGGUUUAAUUCGAAGAUACGCGAAGAACCUUACCAAGGCUUGACAUCGUACGACCGCUAUAGAAAUAUAGUUUUCCUUCGGGACGUAUAGACAGGUGGUGCAUGGUUGUCGUCAGCUCGUGUCGUGAGAUGUUCGGUUAAGUCCGGCAACGAGCGCAACCCCUAUGAGAUGUUGCCAUCAUUAAGUUGGGCACUCAUAUCAGACUGCCGUGGAUAACACGGAGGAAGGCGGGGAUGACGUCAAAUCAUCAUGCCCCUUACGCCUUGGGCUACACACGUGCUACAAUGGGCGCUACAAAGUGCAGCAAGUACGCAAGUAUAAGCGAAUCACAAAAAAGCGUUCUCAGUUCGGAUUGUGGGCUGCAACCCGCCCACAUGAAGCAGGAGUUGCUAGUAAUCCUAAAUCAGAAUGUUAGGGUGAAUGCGUUCCCGGGUCUUGUACACACCGCCCGU